AUACGGAGGAUCCGAGCGUUAUCCGGAUUUAUUGGGUUUAAAGGGUGCGCAGGCGGCCAUUUAAGUCAGCGGUUAAAUCGUGGGGCUCAACCCAUUCUGCCGUUGAUACUGGGUGGCUUGAUUGCGGUCGAGGUUGGCGGAAUUCGUUGUGUAGCGGUGAAAUGCAUAGAUAUGACGAAGAACACCGAUUGCGUAGGCAGCUGACCAGACCGCAAAUGACGCUCAUGCACGAAAGUGCGGGGAUCGAACAGGAUUAGAUACCCUGGUAGUCCGCACAGUAAACGAUGAAUACUUGUUUUCGGCGAUAUAAUGUCGGAGGCAAAGCGAAAGCGAUAAGUAUUCCACCUGGGGAGUACGCCGGCAACGGUGAAACUCAAAGGAAUUGACGGGG
rnacentral:rRNA from 1 species